rnacentral:tRNA from 1 species
GCCCUCAUAGCUCAAUGGAUAGAGCAGUCGCGUCCUAAGCGAGAGAUGCGGGUUCGAUUCCUGCUGAGGGCA